rnacentral:rRNA from 1 species
CCUACGGGAGGCAGCAGUGAGGAAUAUUGGUCAAUGGACGAGAGUCUGAACCAGCCAAGUAGCGUGAAGGAUGACUGCCCUAUGGGUUGUAAACUUCUUUUAUAAAGGAAUAAAACGAGGCACGUGUGCCUUUUUGCAUGUACUUUAUGAAUAAGGAUCGGCUAACUCCGUGCCAGCAGCCGCGGUAAUACGGAGGAUACGAGCGUUAUCCGGAUUUAUUGGGUUUAAAGGGAGCGUAGAUGGGUUGUUAAGUCAGUUGUGAAAGUUUGCGGCUCAACCGUAAAAUUGCAAUUGAUACUGGCAGUCUUGAGUACAGUUGAGGUAAGCGGAAUUCGUGGUGUAGCGGUGAAAUGCGUAGAUAUCAGGAAGAACCCCGAUGGCGAAGGCAGCUUACUAAACUGUGACUGACAUUGAGGCGCGAAAGUGUGGGUAGCAAACAGGAUUAGAUACCCGAGUAGUC